AUUGCCUUACGAGAAUAACAGGAUUUUUUAAGUUCUGAUGGUAUCUACUUUACCCACACAAACGGAUCUCUUAAAGAAAUUGUUUUGUCCUAAUGUGUCAAAGGGAAUUUUGCCUUUACAAAAGCAAUCAGCUUAGGGAGAAGUUAAAGUAGUAAGAAAUGAAAAAUCGGUACCAUUUGAUCCACAAGACAAGUUUGCUUUUUCACUUAAAAAAUCCUGAAUAUAUUUUUUAAAGCUUUUAAAAAUGAAAAUAAAAAGUGCUACAGGAGUUUGGUUCAACUUUGUCAACCAAGAAAGAAUUCACUGAGAUUUCGAGCAAACAGGUGCUCUUUCAUCUGAUGCGAGAUGCCAUUACAGUAGAGUGAUGAAUUCUGUUCCUCAAUUCAAUAACUAUUCAAGGCAAGGACUCAACCUCCACCCCACAGUUUCUAAGAGUGAUUUGAACGAGCUAGGCAUAUAGUGGUGAACAGGACAGCUGGGCUUUCUACUCUUACGGAACCUACAUUCCACCAGGAAGAAACGAACAGUAAGCAAAUAGAUA